rnacentral:rRNA from 1 species
UAUGUCUGUAGUGAAAGCGUGUGGCUCAACCAUAUACACAUUACAGAAACUGCUCAGCUAGAGGGCGAGAGAGGUUACUAGAAUUCCUUGUGUAGGAGUGGAAUCCGUAGAUAUAAGGAGGAAUACCGAUGGCGUAGGCAGGUAACUGGCUCGUCCCUGACACUAAGGCACGAAAGCGUGGGUAGCAAACGGGAUUAGAUACCCCGGUAGUCCACGCCGUAAACGAUGAAUGCUA